CGAGGAUUCUCCCAGUAACGGCGAGUGAACGGAGAGAAGCCCAGCGCUGAAUCAUUUGAUCACAGUGGUCAAAUUGAAAUGUAGCGUAUAGGUGUAACUAUCCUAUUGUUUUGUGCACUCAAAGUCCCCUUGAGCGGGGCCACAGUCCACAGAAGGUGCUAGACCUGUACGGGUGACGAAACACUGGGUUGGUUGCUCCUUGGAGUCGGGUUGCCUGAGAUCGCAGCUCAAAGUGGGUGGUAAACCUCAUCUAAGGCUAAAUAUGGCCACGAGACCGAUAGCAAACAAGUACCGUGAGGGAAAGUUGAAAAGAACUCUGAGAAGAGAGUUAAAGGAGGACGUGAAACCGCUGGGAUGGAAACGAAUAGAGUUGACGAAACCUACCGUCAUUCAACCGAUCAACUUAGCGGUCUUUUAUCAAUUGUACCACACGUCUUUGUGCGUAUUGAUGGACAGUGAUAAGAGGUGCUGUUGAGUAGUUUCAAAAAAAAAUACCUGUGUGAUCGGUGCAUUUGAUGGUGGUACGCGCCGAGAGCCGCGUUGUUGUACAAUAAAGCAUUUGGCAGUGGACCGGAUAAUUUUUAUCCGGAAACCUACCGGUGUGAAGGUGUAUCGAUGAUGCGGUUGCAAUUGCAAUUUUCGCCGUAUGGUGCGUUUCAUAUGUUUUCAAUUUAUUCUGGCAUAAAUGAUCGCAUGCGUAUCGUUUAUGUUUUUGAGUGGUAAAUUGAAUGAUAUGAUUUUUUAUUGACGCGUUGAAAUUGUAUCUCGGUGUGAGCGUCGAUCACCUAUUCGACCCGUCUUGAAACACGGACCAAGGAGUCUAGCAUAUGCGCAAGUUAUUGGGUGGUAAACCUAAUUAAAACGCAAUGAAAGUAAAAAUCGUCUUGAUACGAUUGGAUAUGUGAGCCAUAUGUUUGUGUAUAUGUAUGAGUGUUUGUGUGCAUGUGCGUAUGUGUGUGUGUGUAGUGUAUGUGUAUAUAUAUAUGUGUGUGUGUAUUUUCUCUUUUGAAAGUAUAGCGCGCAUAUAUAUUGCGCGUACAUUACUCCCAUAUACGCAUACACAUACAUUUUGUAUAUAUGUAAAAAUGUACAUAUGGUGCAACAUAGCCCCGUCCUCAUUGCUUGCAAUAGGGCGGAGGUAGAGCGUAUACGCUGGGACCCGAAAGAUGGUGAACUAUGCCUGAGCAGGAUGAAGCCAGAGGAAACUCUGGUGGAGGUCCGAAGCGAUUCUGACGUGCAAAUCGAUCGUCUGACUUUGGUAUAGGGGCGAAAGACUAAUCGAACUAUCUAGUAGCUGGUUCCCUCUGAAGUUUCCCCCAGGAUAGCUGGAGCACAUUAAAGAGCAGUUAUAUUCGGUAAAGCGAAUGAUUAGACGAAUUGGGGACGAAACGUCCUCAACCUAUUCUCAAACUUUCAAUGGGUAUGAAGUUUCGCUUUCUUAAUUGAAGCGUAAACAUUGAAUGCGUGCUCCAAGUGGGCCAUUUUUGGUAAGCAGAACUGGCGCUGUGGGAUGAACCAAACGUCGAGAUAAAGUGCCAAACUUUCCGCUCAUGAGACCCCAUGAAAGGCGUUGGUUGAUAUAGACAGCAGGACGGUGGCCAUGGAAGUCGGAAGCCGCUAAGGAGUGUGUAACAACUCACCUGCCGAAUCAACUAGCCCUGAAAAUGGAUGGCGCUUGAGCGGGAGACUUAUACUCGACCGUUGCUAGGCUUGUGUACACAGUAGUAGUGAACGCAACAGUUACCUGGCCGCAACGAGUAAGAGGGUCGCAGUGGUUAGCGCUGAAGACUUUGGGCGUAGGCCCAGUCGGAGCUUCCACUGGUGCAGAUCUUGGUGGUAGUAGCAAAUAUUCAAGUGAGAUCCUUGAAGACUGAAGUGGAGAAGGGUUCCUCGUGAACAGCAGUUGGAUGCGGGUCAGUCGAUCCUAAGAUAUUGGCUAAUGCCAUUUGUUGAAUGAGAGACGGAGAUCAAAUCCAUCUCGGCAAUCGAAAGGGAAACGGGUUUAUAUUCCCGUACCUGGACACGGAGAUUAAAUAUCCAUUGCGGGUAUUUAGCGCGGUAACGCAAACGAACUCGGAGACGUUGAGCAGAGCCCGAGCCAGAGUUCUCUUUUCUGGUUAAGGAACGGACUCCCUGGAAGCGGUUCAGCCGGCGAUAGGGACGUUGUUUCCGUAAAGCGCCACGGUUCCUGUGGCGUCUCGUGCACUCUGCUCGACCCAUGAAAAUCCGAGGGAGGCAAUUUGAAUUUCGUGCCAGAUCGUACCGAUAUCCGCAGCAGGUCUCCAAGGUGAACAGCCUCUAGUCGAUAGAAUAAUGUAGGUAAGGGAAGUCGGCAAAUUAGAUCCGUAACUUCGGGAAAAGGAUUGGCUCUAAGGACUGGGCCGGUCGGGCUGCAGCGUGAAGUGAGUGCGGUUUGAUCCGUGCAGUGCUAACGCAUAUUGGUUGCACUAAAUUUCUUGGAUCUCUGAAAAUUUCCCGAAUGGUGCGUGUAUGCGUAUUCUAUUAUUUGCUAACCACAAAUGGUAGGUAUGUGUGCGCGUGUUGUUUAGGUGCAAAUUUUUCUUGAGUGAAAAGAGAUGUGUCUAAUAAGUGUUUGGCUCGGCUAGUGUUUGAACUGUCUUAUGGACCGCUGCAGCUGUGCAUCGGUACCUUAAUGGUGUCGGUGCUUCGUCCGGCGCUAAACAGUCAGCUUAGAACUGGCACGGACUCGGGGAAUCCGACUGUCUAAUUAAAACAGAGGAGACAGAUGGUCCUCGCGGGCGUUGACUGUCUCUGAUUUCUGCCCAGUGCUCUGAAUGUAAAAGUGAAGAAAUUCAACCAAGCGCGGGUAAACGGCGGGAGUAACUAUGACUCUCUUAAGGUAGCCAAAUGCCUCGUCGGAUAACUACCGACGCGCAUGAAUGGAUUAUCGAGAUUCCCACUGUCCCUAUCUACUAUCUAGCGAAAUCACAGCCAAGGGAACGGGCUUGGUAAACACAGCGGGGAAAGAAGACCCUGUUGAGCUUGACUCUAGUCCGACUCUGUGAAGAGUCAUGAGAGGUGUAGCAUAAGUGGGAGGCUUUUUUUGUGAAAGCCACCAGUGAAAUACCACUACUUUCAUCGAUUCUUUACUUAUUCGGUAAGACGGGAAUUGAACCAAGACGGUUCUUGAUUCUGGUAUAAAGUGCAGCCGCUUGGUGGUCGCACGACUCGCGCCGAAGACAGUGUCAGGCGGGGAGUUUGACUGGGGCGGUACAUCUGUCAAAAGGUAACGCAGGUGUCCUAAGGCUAGCUCAGAGAGGACGGAAACCUCUCGUAGAGUAAAAGGGCAAAAGCUCGCUUGAUCUUGAUUUCCAGUACGAAUACAGACCGCGAAAGCGUGGCCUAUCGAUCCUUUUGAAUUAGAAGGUCUCUAGCAAGAGGUGUCAGAAAAGUUACCACAGGGAUAACUGGCUUGUGGCAGCCAAGCGUCCAUAGCGACGUUGCUUUUUGAUCCUUCGAUGUCGGCUCUUCCUAUCAUUGCGAAGCAGAAUUCGCCAAGCGUUGGAUUGUUCACCCACCAAUAGGG
rnacentral:rRNA from 1 species